UACGUAGGGUGCGAGCGUUAAUCGGAUUUACUGGGCGUAAAGCGUGCGUAGGCGGUUCGCUAAGUCGGUUGUGAAAUCCCUGGGCUUAACCUGGGAACUGCAGUCGAUACUGGCGGACUAGAGUACGGUAGAGGGUGGCGGAACUCCGGGUGUAGCGGUGAAAUGCAUAGAUAUCCGGAAGAACACCGAUGGCGAAGGCAACCACCUGGGCCUGUACUGACGCUGAGGUACGAAAGCGUGGGGAGCAAACAGG
rnacentral:rRNA from 1 species